rnacentral:misc_RNA from 1 species
GCCACUUUGGUUAUUGCUCCUUUUGCAAUAAUUCUAGACAAGAAAGUAAGACCAAAGAUGACCCCCUCAAUAUUUGCUAAGUUGGUACUUCUUAGCUUACUGGAGCCUGUCAUCGACCAGAAUCUCUACUCUAUUGGCCUGAAAUACACAACAGCAACGUUUGCAGCUGCAAUGUGCAACAUUCUUCCUGCCAUUACUUUUAUAAUGGCCUGGAUAU